rfam:Salmo salar isolate Sally breed double haploid chromosome ssa20, whole genome shotgun sequence.
AAUGCACCAAUUUGUAAGUCGCUAUGUAUAAGAGCGUCUGCUAAAUGACUUAAA